rnacentral:rRNA from 1 species
AUGGCAGCCAUACUAGAAUCUUUGCUUGGAUCAUGUGUCGAUAAGUUGCAAAAUAUUAUUAGUGAUGAGGCCAUACUAAUCCUUGGGGUGGAAGAAGAGCUUGCAGAAGUGUUGCGACGGGUAGAACUAAUACGUUGUUGUAUAUAUGAUGCUGAGAAAAGGAGGACAAAAGAGCUUGCAGUGAACAAUUGGCUUGGUCAACUGAGAGAUGUUAUAUAUGAUGUUGAUGAAAUAUUGGACAUCGCUAGAUGCAAAGGAAGCAAGCUACUGCUUGACCAUCCAUCAUCAUCAAGCAAAUCAGCUGCCUGUAAAGGCCUUUCGGUUUCCUCUUGCUUUUGUAACAUCGGGCCACGCCAUGAUGUUGCUGUUCGGAUUAGAAGUCUGAACAAAAGGAUAGAGAACAUUUCAAAAGAUACAACAUUUUUAACAUUCAGCAGUAGUACACAACCUACUGGAAAUGGUCCAACAUCCAAAUUGAGAAGAAGUUCCAACCUUGUUGAGCCUAACCUUGUGGGAAAGGAGAUCAUACAUUCUAGCAAGAAGUUGGUAGACUUAGCACUUGCUGACAAGGCACAUAAGUCUUAUAAGCUUGCUAUUGUUGGAAUAGGAGGAGUUGGUAAGACAACACUAGCUCAGAAAAUAUUCAAUGACCAAAAAAUAAGAGGAAGCUUCCAGCUACGGGCAUGGAUUUGUGUUUCACAUGACUACAAUGAAGUAACUAUUCUAAAAGAGGUUCUUCGAAAUAUUGGUGUGUAUCAUGAGCAAGGCGAAACCAUAGCAGAACUGCAGAGAAAGCUUGCAGAAACAGUUGAAGGGAAGAGUUUCUUUCUGGUUUUAGAUGAUGUGUGGCAUCCCAAUGUCUGGACGGAUUUAUUAAGAACCCCAUUCCAUACAACAAAUUCUGGAGUAAUAUUGGUAACCACACGAGAUGAUCAAAUUGCAAUGAGAAUAGGCAUACAACAUACCCAUCAAGUUGAUCUCAUGUCAGCAGAGGUGGGAUGGGAGCUACUUUGGAAGAGCAUGAACAUUGCCGAAGAGAAAGAAGUGCAUAAUUUGAGAAACACAGGCAUGGAGAUUGUUGAUAAAUGUGGUCGCCUCCCUCUUGCAAUUAAGGUUACUGCUAGUGCUUUGGCAAGCAAAGAUCUAACCGAGAAUGAGUGGAGAAAGUUUUUAGGCAAAUACUCUGGCUCCCAUGGGAUGCUCUCUGAUGAAAUAGAGGGCGCUCUAUACCUAAGCUAUGAUGAGUUAUCACAUCGUCUGAAACAGUGUUUCCUUUACUGUGCUUUGUAUACUGAAAAUUCUAUCAUUUACCGUGGUGUAGUUACAAAGUUAUGGAUUGCUGAAGGCUUCAUUAUGGAGCAACAAGGUCAGCCACUCGAAGACACAGCAGAAGGGUACUACUAUGAGUUAAUCCAUCGGAAUCUCCUCCAACCAGAUAACACAAUUUUUAACCAGGCUCAAUGCAGAAUGCAUGACCUCUUAAGACAGCUUGCUUGCAAAUUAUCACAGGACGAAUGCUUUAUUGGAAACGUUGAAACAUUGAGGGGUGAGAAUAUGUCAAAAUUGCGACGCCUUUCUGUUGUCAAUAAGAAGGAUAAAUUAGUGUUAACUAGCAUGGAUAACAUGGUAGUUAAGGUGAGGACAUUCCUUGCUUUUUAUGGUCCAUGGAAAAUUGAGGAUACAUUCUUCAAGAGAUUUCUACUUCUUCGUGUUCUGGCCCUGAAUUACUCAAUUGUGCAAAAAAUUCCAGAUUAUAUAGGAAAAUUGAUCCAUCUACGCCUACUUGAUCUUGGUCAUACUGGCAUAUCUCAUCUUCCAGAAUCCAUUGGAUCCCUAAAGAACCUUCAAGUGUUGAGCUUGAUAAAUUGUGAUGCUCUGCACAGUCUUCCAUCGGCGAUGACCCAAUUGUGUAAUCUACGAUGUCUUCGUCUUACUGGUACAAAAGUAAAUCGGGUUCCAAAAGGGAUAGGGAAAUUAAAUUUGCUCACUGAAUUACGAGGAUUUCUUGUCGGCGACAUAAGUGAUAAUGCUGAUGUACAAGAUGGGUGGAAGUUGGAAGAGUUGUCUUCUUUGCCGCAAAUGAUGUAUCUUAAUCUUGUUAAAUUGGAAAGAACAGCUCAUUGUCGUACAAAUGUAGUGCUGGAGGACAAAAAGCAUCUAAAAGAACUGGUGCUAGAGUGGACCACACAUGGAGAGGGACCAUAUUCAGAAGAGGUUAGCAAUGCUGAGAAGGUCUUUGAGCUGCUAGUACCUCCACGCAACCUGGAAACCCUCUAUAUCUUUGGAUUCUUUGGUCAGAGGUAUCCCACGUGGUUUGGUACCGCCUGUUUGUCUUCAGUAACACACUUGUUCCUAAAAAAUCUACGAUCAUGCGUGGAUCUUCCACCGGUCGGACAGCUACCAAACUUGAAGUUUCUGAGAAUUGAUGGAGCACAUGCAGUUACCAAGGUUGGACCUGAAUUUGUUGGCUGCAGGGUGGGUGAACCCAUAAGCAACGAGUUCAUUGCUUUCCCUAAACUUGAGUGGUUCUUCAUCAAGGAUAUGCCCAACUGGGAGGAGUGGUCUUUUUUUAAGGGAGUGGAAAAUGUUGUUCAUGAAGGAGGAGAGGAUGGUGGUGAUGAGAUUCAUAACGGUGAUGCUCAAUCGACACGAUUGCAACUACUGCCUCGUUUGGCGAAGUUGAAAGUUGAAGGUUGCCCAAAGCUGAGGGCUCUCCCACAACAGCUUGGAGAGGACACCGCCAGCUUGAAGGAGCUCUUGUUAAUUGGAGCGAACAACUUGAAGGCCGUGGAGGACUUUCCAGUGCUCGAGCUCCUUGUGAUUGAGGAUUGUGAAGGCCUGGAGGAGGUCUCCAACCUCCCUCAAGUGUCAAAACUACAAGUACGUGGUUGUCCAAACUUAAGCCAUGUAGAGGGGUUGGGCAAUUUGCAGCAGCUGGGAUUGGGCGAGGAUAUGCAGGAGAUAUCUUCCCGUUGGGUGCCUGGGCUUCAGAACCAGCGCCAGCGACUUCAUGGCGAAGACCUGGAUGUCUACACACUAUCUACCGGUUAG